rnacentral:rRNA from 1 species
AUUGAACGCUGGCGGCAGGCCUAACACAUGCAAGUCGAGCGGAUGAAGGGAGCUUGCUCCUGGAUUCAGCGGCGGACGGGUGAUUAAUGCCUAGGAAUCUGCCUGUUAGUGGGGGAUAACGUCCGGAAACGGGCGCUAAUACCGCAUACGUCCUGAGGGAGAAAGUGGGGGAUCUUCGGACCUCACGCUAUCAGAUGAGCCUAGGUCGGAUUAGCUAGUUGGUGGGGUAAAGGCCUACCAAGGCGACGAUCCGUAACUGGUCUGAGAGGAUGAUCAGUCACACUGGAACUGAGACACGGUCCAGACUCCUACGGGAGGCAGCAGUGGGGAAUAUUGGACAAUGGGCGAAAGCCUGAUCCAGCCAUGCCGCGUGUGUGAAGAAGGUCUUCGGAUUGUAAAGCACUUUAAGUUGGGAGGAAGGGCAGUAAGUUAAUACCUUGCUGUUUUGACGUUACCAACAGAAUAAGCACCGGCUAACUUCGUG